AUUGAAACUCCGGUUCCUGUACGAUCACCGAAGUUAAGCAACUUAGCAACUGGGAAGUACUUAGAUGGGUGACCACUUGG